rnacentral:rRNA from 1 species
UACGUAGGUGGCGAGCGUUGUCCGGAUUCAUUGGGCGUAAAGCGCGCGUAGGCGGUUUGUCGCGUCUGCCGUGAAAGUCCGGGGCUCAACUCCGGAUCUGCGGUGGGUACGGGCAGACUAGAGUGAUGUAGGGGGAGACUGGAAUUCCUGGUGUAGCGGUGGAAUGCGCAGAUAUCAGGAGGAACACCGAUGGCGAAGGCAGCCAUCUGGACCGACACUGACGCUGAGGCGCGAAAGCGUGGGGAGCGAACAGG